AAAAAAGUGAUUUAUAAUGAAAAGUAAGCAUUAAGUUUAUGUAUAGUGAUUUUUCUGCUUGAUUCAAUACUAAAGAGAAAAGAAAACUACCUGAAAUGAAAGAUGAGUAUAAUGAGAAGAAUCAGUCAGAAAACAAUAUAAUGCUAAAAGGUGUUGCUGGAGAAAUGAGAGGGAAAGUAUGGGUUAUGGUACCAGUUAGAGAGGUGUUGCUGGAGAAAUGAGAGGGAAAGUAUGGGUUCUGGUACCAGUUAGAGAGGUGUUGCUGGAGAAAUGAGAGGGAAAGUAUGACUUCUGGUACCAUUUAGAGAGGUGUUGCU